ensembl:lncRNA
GUAGGUGGCGGUAAUGCACCUUUAAGUUGGUUUGCCAAAACUGCCAAAAAACAUCAGAAGGAGAAGAAGAAGGAGGAGGAGGAGGAGGCUUGGCUAAGCGAGACCAUCUAAAGAAAGGAGCAAAUCACGGUGUAGAAGGAAGCAACAGCGCUCCUGCUUUGGAACAAGAGGGAGUGGACAGUUCAGCUUUUGAGUCAGAGCAGGAACCUUCAGGUAAAGUUUAAGCUAUAAGCAAAACUAAACAUGCUGGCUAUACUCUUAGAACAAUAUGUGCUUUUAUGAUUUAUAAGAUCAUCAGUAGUAGGACUGUGAUCAUGGGGACAUACAUUUGAUGGCUGCACAAUUAAUAUAGAUUAUUGAAAGUGCUUAUUUCAUAUUGCAGAGAAACUAUAUGUGCAGAGUGAGAGAGAGGGGGAUUCAGGGAAAGAUGAUAUAGAUGGUGUAUUCCUAGUGAGUUUUUGAGGGUUUAUUUAUUUAUCCAUUCAUAUUAUGCAUGGUAAUCUACCCGUUACAUUAACUAACAGGGUUAGCCUAAAAGUUUAGCAGUCUGGUGGACACAUGAAUACGGUGGUGGUGACUGCAGCAACAGAGGUGGCCUGGGGUGGAGUCAAAUUCCCGGCCUGAUUUACUGUCCCAGUCCGCCACUGGUCAUGACUGAAUUCUGGGAUUAACUCAGCAUUAUGGAAAUUAUAAGGCUUUAACCUUAAGUUAUAAAUGGGACAUAACUGUAUCUGCACGGUGGGAUGUUG